UGGGCAGUGGGAGGUGUAUAGGCUCUUUCUUUAUUUCAUACUCAUGUGAUUUGAAUCUGUAUAGCUGGAUGUUGUAUUUUUUCCAGCUCGCUAAAAUGAUUGAGUUUUUCUUCUGGUUUCCUGCUAUUUCUUGCAGUUUGGACAUGGAUUUAGUGAGGAAAAGAAUCACGGAAAUACAGGUGGAUUGAAGAAGUCAGGCGACCAUGAAAGGAAAGAUUGUUUGGACGCACACUCCUAUUUGGUGAAAUGCAGAAUGGAAGAUGGGAGCUUGCUAUCUGAACAGAAUACGAGAAUGGAUAUCGAAGAGUGAGACAACUUGCUGAUAAAAUGAUCAAGUUUUGCAAAGAAAAGGAAAAUAGGGAAUCAAAUAAUGGCUUAGCAUAUAUUUUGUGGAAGGUGAUCCGGGCUACAUAUCUUCAUCUUAUGAACAUGAAAUGUGUGAUCGGCACUGGAAGAUCUGAUCUAGAGAGAUCUUCAGAGAGAAUACAAAUGAGAAGGAGAUAGAAUUUGCAUGAUCAGGAGAGAACAUCCUAUAGUAUACCUAUUCUGAAAUUCAAGAUAGCAUAUUAUUGGUUCUUUGUCUCGAUGUAUAUUUUUCUGCCCU